rnacentral:rRNA from 1 species
UACGUAGGUGGCAAGCGUUGUCCGGAAUUACUGGGCGUAAAGGGCGCGUAGGCGGCCUUCUAAGUCAGACGUGAAAUCCCCAGGCUUAACUUGGGAACUGCGUCUGAUACUGGGGAGGCUUGAGUGCGGGAGAGGGAUGUGGAAUUCCAGGUGUAGCGGUGAAAUGCGUAGAUAUCUGGAGGAACACCGGUGGCGAAGGCGGCAUCCUGGACCGACACUGACGCUGAGGCGCGAAAGCUAGGGGAGCAAACGGG